AUUGAACGCUGGCGGCAGGCCUAACACAUGCAAGUCGAGCGGAUGAGUGGAGCUUGCUCCAUGAUUCAGCGGCGGACGGGUGAGUAAUGCCUAGGAAUCUGCCUGGUAGUGGGGGACAACGUUUCGAAAGGAACGCUAAUACCGCAUACGUCCUACGGGAGAAAGUGGGGGAUCUUCGGACCUCACGCUAUCAGAUGAGCCUAGGUCGGAUUAGCUAGUUGGUGAGGUAAAGGCUCACCAAGGCGACGAUCCGUAACUGGUCUGAGAGGAUGAUCAGUCACACUGGAACUGAGACACGGUCCAGACUCCUACGGGAGGCAGCAGUGGGGAAUAUUGGACAAUGGGCGAAAGCCUGAUCCAGCCAUGCCGCGUGUGUGAAGAAGGUCUUCGGAUUGUAAAGCACUUUAAGUUGGGGGGAAGGGCAGUAAGUUAAUACCUUGCUGUUUUGACGUUACCAACAGAAUAAGCACCGGCUAACUUCGUGCCAGCAGCCGCCGUAUAC
rnacentral:rRNA from 1 species